UCGAGCGAUGAAAUCCCUUCGGGGAUGGAUUAGCGGCGGACGGGUGAGUAACACGUGGGUAACCUGCCUCAUAGAGGGGAAUAGCCUUCCGAAAGGAAGAUUAAUACCGCAUAAGAUUGUAGUGCCGCAUGGUAUAGCAAUUAAAGGAGCAAUCCGCUAUGAGAUGGACCCGCGUCGCAUUAGCUAGUUGGUGAGGUAACGGCUCACCAAGGCGACGAUGCGUAGCCGACCUGAGAGGGUGAUCGGCCACAUUGGGACUGAGACACGGCCCAGACUCCUACGGGAGGCAGCAGUGGGGAAUAUUGCACAAUGGGGGAAACCCUGAUGCAGCAACGCCGCGUGAGUGAUGACGGUCUUCGGAUUGUAAAGCUCUGUCUUCAGGGACGAUAAUGACGGUACCUGAGGAGGAAGCCACGGCUAACUACGUGCCAGCAGCCGCGGUAAUACGUAGGUGGCAAGCGUUGUCCGGAUUUACUGGGCGUAAAGGGAGCGUAGGUGGAUAUUUAAGUGGGAUGUGAAAUACUCGGGCUUAACCUGGGUGCUGCAUUCCAAACUGAAUAUCUAGAGUGCAGGAGAGGAAAGUAGAAUUCCUAGUGUAGCGGUGAAAUGCGUAGAGAUUAGGAAGAAUACCAGUGGCGAAGGCGACUUUCUGGACUGUAACUGACACUGAGGCUCGAAAGCGUGGGGAGCA
rnacentral:rRNA from 1 species